GUAGUCCUGGCCGUAAACGAUGAACAUUAGGUGUCGGGGGAAUCGACCCCCUCGGUGUCGUAGCCAACGCGUUAAGUGUUCCGCCUGGGGAGUACGCACGCAAGUGUGAAACUCAAAGGAAUUGACGGGGGCCCGCGCAAGCGGUGGAGUAUGUGGUUUAAUUCGAUGCAACGCGAAGAACCUUACCAGGGUUUGACAUCCUGCGAAUCCCUUGGAAACGAGGGAGUGCCUUCGGGAGCGCAGUGACAGGUGGUGCAUGGCUGUCGUCAGCUCGUGUCGUGAGAUGUUGGGUUAAGUCCCGCAGCGAGCGCAACCCACGUCGUUAGUUGCCAGCAUUCAGUUGGGCACUCUAGCGAGACCGCCGGUGAUAAACCGGAGGAAGGUGUGGAUGACGUCAAGUCAUCAUGCCCCUUACAUCCUGGGCUACACACGUACUACAAUGCUACGGACAAAGGGCAGCAAGCUCGCGAGAGUUAGCAAAUCCCAUAAACCGUGGCUCAGUUCAGAUCGUAGGCUGCAACUCGCCUACGUGAAGGAGGAAUCGCUAGUAAUCGCAGGUCAGCAUACUGCGGUGAAUACGUUCCCGGGCCUUGUACACACCGCCCGUCACACCAUGGAAGUUGGCCAUGCCCGAAGUCGUUACUCCAACCCGUAAGGGAGGAGA
rnacentral:rRNA from 1 species